rnacentral:rRNA from 1 species
GAUGAACGCUGACAGAAUGCUUAACACAUGCAAGUCUUUGGCGAAUCUGUGCUUGCACAGGCUAGCCAAGGCGGACGGGUGAGUAACGCGUAAAGAACUUGCCCUGCAGACAGGGUUAACAGACGGAAACGACUGAUAACACCUGAUACAGUUGCCGGCACGCAUGUGCCUGGCAAUGAAAAGAGAUGCUGCAGGAGAGCUUUGCGUCCUAUUAGCUUGUUGGUGAGGUGACGGCUCACCAAGGCGAUGAUAGGUAGCCGGCCUGAGAGGGUGAACGGCCACAAGGGGACUGAGAUACGGCCCUUACUCCUACGGGAGGCAGCAGUGGGGAAUAUUGGACAAUGGGGGCAACCCUGAUCCAGCAAUUCUGUGUGCACGAAGAAGGUUUUCGGAUUGUAAAGUGCUUUCAGCAGGGAAGAAGAAAGUGACGGUACCUGCAGAAGAAGCGACGGCUAAAUACGUG